rnacentral:rRNA from 1 species
AGUUGUAAUCUCUAGAAAUGUUUUCCGCGUUGGACCGCACACAAGUCUGUUGGAAUACAGCGGCAUAGUGGUGAGACCCCCGUAUAUGGUGCGGACGCCCAGCGCUUUGUGAUACAUUUUCGAAGAGUCGAGUUGUUUGGGAAUGCAGCUCAAAUUGGGUGGUAAAUUCCAUCUAAAGCUAAAUAUUGGCGAGAGACCGAUAGCGAACAAGUACCGUGAGGGAAAGAUGAAAAGCACUUUGGAAAGAGAGUUAACAGUACGUGAAAUUGUUGGAAGGGAAACGCUUGAAGUCAGACUUGCUUGCCGAGCAAUCGGUUUGCAGGCCAGCAUCAGUUUUCCGGGAUGGAUAAUGGUAGAGAGAAGGUAGCAGUUUCGGCUGUGUUAUAGCUCUCUGCU